rnacentral:lncRNA from 1 species
AGCUGUGGCUUUAGCUAUUUUCCCUGCACAACCCCAAAUACCAGCAGAGCUGGGCCUCUGGGUAGACAGACAGGGGGUCUCCUGGGCUGAGUCGAUGGGGAGAGGGUGGAAUGGAGCAGAGUGUCAAUAGGAAUAGCCUCCCUUGUUGAGGGCCUUACUCGUUGUCUCAAUAAAUCCUGAAAAAGCUAUGAUUUUACAGAUGAGGAGACUGAGGCUCAGCGAGGUGAAGUUACUUACUUGCUCCAGUCACACAGUGGUGGGAAGAAGGGUCUUGACCGCAGCCCCAUAUCUGUUUGUUGAAUCAAGGAGGAGACAGUGGACAAUGGAGGAACCCUGAGUUAUGUGGGUUGGGUCGGUUGCCUCCCCAACCCCAACCCUGGGAUGAGAGGUGGGGGUGGUGGACACCAUAUCAGCAGCAUCUGGGGUUGGGGUAUGGUUAGUAGCUCCCAAAGUAUGGGAAAGGGGAACCCUGUCAUCCUUACAGACCACCCCUGAGUCAAGAAGCCUCCCGGGGUGGCAAAUGAGCAUCCAGCUGACUUCCGCAGCCUCAGGCGGCGGGGUGGGCUGGGCGUUACAUCCUGCAGCCCCGCCCACGGGGUGCGGCCAGAGCAGCACCGCCCAGCCCCAAGCAGACGCCCACCGGCCUCCUCCCUGGGACUGCCCUGCACCCGGACCCACUGGGUCAGUCGUGUACAGUCUGGAAGAGACAGCACUCUCAGUGCGCCUCCCGGACUCCUGGCAUCCAGGAGCACCGUCUCCAGGGAGCCCACCAGGGCACAGCGGGAGCCAUCUCGGUCUCCCCACGCGAGGACCCACUAGUUUCGAGGUCCGAAAGGUAGAAGGCAGAGCCCUCCGCUGGAAAAGGCUCUGUUCUAGGCACCGGGAAUACAUCAGCUGGAAGAAUUUCUGCAUCCUGCAGACACGGAGGAAGAGCUCCCGAGACCCCUGCAUCGCACGGUUCCUUCCUGCUGCCAGCAGUUUGGGAGGCAAGAGCAUCUGUGUCUCAGAGGAUUUGUUCUCCCAUCUCAGCCCCCCUUUGGGAAAAGCCGUUUUUCUCGCCUCUCAGAAGUGGAGGGACACUUCCUUGGGAAAGAGAGAUGAUCCUCCAUCCAGCUUUUUCUGCUGGGAAAGGGAUCGAACCUGCAUAUCCUGCAUUGGAAGUGUGGAAUCUUAACCACUGGACCACCCAGGGAAGUCCCCUUCCUUCAACACGAUUCCUGAUUCUGCAAGAUGGAGUCAUAAUCUCAGGUUUCCUGCUGAGCAGAAGCCUCAGUUUCUUCUUCUGUAAAAUGGG